GACGAACGCGGCGGCGUGCUUAACACAUGCAAGUCGAACGGAGCGAAUGAAAGCUUGCUUUUAUAAGCUUAGUGGCAAACGGGUGAGUAACACGUAGACAACCUGCCGACAGGAUGGGGACAACAUUCCGAAAGGAAUGCUAAUACCGAAUGAAGCGCGGGAGAGGCAUCUCUCCUGCGUGAAAGAUGGCCUCUAUAUAUAAGCUAUCACCUGUUGAUGGGUCUGCGUCUGAUUAGCUGGUAGGUGAGGUAACGGCUCACCUAGGCGACGAUCAGUAGCCGGUCUGAGAGGAUGAACGGCCACAUUGGGACUGAGACACGGCCCAGACUCCUACGGGAGGCAGCAGUGGGGAAUCUUCCGCAAUGGGGCGCAAAGCCCUGACGGGAGCAAACGCCCGCGUGAGGAAAGAAAGGUCUUUCGGA
rnacentral:rRNA from 1 species